GUGUUUGUAUAAGUCUACAUACUCUAUCCCAAAUUCACCCUCGCCGAGCGGGAGGUUGCGGUGUGUUUCGGAGGAGGCAGUGGCGGAUGACCAGGGCGACAUGACCUGUGUCAGGAUAGAAGCGGGAAACUGAGAGUAUGUAAUCACGAGCAAAGCAGGUCUUUAUAACACUGACCAACAAAGAAGGCCUAAAAUGCGUCUCGACCUCUUUAACAAUUUACCUGUGAUGUGUCUGAUUGAAGAGGAGGAACGCCGUUGUCGCCCAUCAGGUCGCCAUCUGUUAGUCUAAAGAUUUUGAUCAGGUUUAACAAUACCUGGAGACAGGAAGCAGUGGCGGACAGGAAGUCUGUCCUGGGAACAAGGGGGUGCUCUCUGUGAAUUUCUCUGCGUAACUGUGAGGAAACCAGCCCUUGUUUCCAAGGGAGUCCAGCUGGUCUUUCAGCUUGCGGCAGUUGACACCUUUGUCGCUCACAUUGGUAGCCAGGGAGGCCAAUGUCACCGCUGCAACACCCAACAAAGAAGUGCAACGAUUGAAUCAGUUCAUCCACACUAUGAGUUA